AUUGUUUAGAUCUGAAAUCAGGUGGGACUACCCGCUGAACUUAAGCAUAUCAAUAAGCGGAGGAAAAGAAACUAACAAGGAUUCCCCUAGUAACGGCGAGUGAAGCGGGAAAAGCUCAAAUUUAAAAUCUGGCAGGUUAUCCUGUCCGAGUUGUAGUUUCAAGAAGCGUUUUCGGUGCGCGUCUGGGUAUAAGUUCUUUGGAACAGGACAUCAUAGAGGGUGAGAAUCCCGUUUAUGACCCGGAACAGCGUACUAUGUGAUACGUUUUCUAAGAGUCAGGUUGUUUGGGAAUGCAGCCUAAAAUGGGUGGUAAAUUUCAUCUAAAGCUAAAUAUUGGCGAGAGACCGAUAGCGAACAAGUACCGUGAGGGAAAGAUGAAAAGAACUUUGAAAAGAGAGUUAAACAGUACGUGAAAUUGUUGAAAGGGAAACGUUUGAAAUCAGUCGUGCGGGCGGGUAAUCAGCUUGGCCUUUGGGUCUUGUGCACUUACUCGUCUCGCAGGCCAGCGUCGGUUUUGUUNGCCGGAUAAAUGCCAAGGGAAUGUAGCUCAACCUUUUACGAGGAGGGGUGUUAUAGCCCUGGUAAAUACGGCGGUCGAGACCGAGGUCUGCAGUUGAUGCCUCUCGGGGCUGGGGACUCCAUCGCUCAUUCGCACCCGCGCCUAGACAGCUUGCUGACUAGGUGUGUGGUCUGUGGGUGACACGGUGGGCUACCACACAUCGACUUGGGUCGCUGACUUAAUG
rnacentral:rRNA from 1 species